CCUACGGGAGGCAGCAGUGGGGAAUAUUGCGCAAUGGGCGAAAGCCUGACGCAGCGACGCCGCGUGAGGGACGAAGGCCUUCGGGUUGUAAACCUCUUUCAGCAGGGACGAAGCGCAAGUGACGGUACCUGCAGAAGAAGCACCGGCCAACUACGUGCCAGCAGCCGCGGUAAUACGUAGGGUGCAAGCGUUGUCCGGAAUUAUUGGGCGUAAAGAGCUCGUAGGCGGUUUGUCGCGUCGACUGUGAAAACCCGAGGCUUAACCUCGGGCCUGCAGUCGAUACGGGCAGACUAGAGUUCGGUAGGGGAGACUGGAAUUCCUGGUGUAGCGGUGAAAUGCGCAGAUAUCAGGAGGAACACCGGUGGCGAAGGCGGGUCUCUGGGCCGAUACUGACGCUGAGGAGCGAAAGCGUGGGGAGCGAACAGGAUUAGAUACCCUGGUAGUCCACGCCGUAAACGUUGGGCGCUAGGUGUGGGGGUCUUUCCACGAUCUCCGUGCCGCAGCUAACGCAUUAAGCGCCCCGCCUGGGGAGUACGGCCGCAAGGCUAAAACUCAAAGGAAUUGACGGGGGCCCGCACAAGCGGCGGGAGCAUGCGGCUUAAUUCGACGCACGCGAAGAACCUUACCAAGGCUUGACAUACAGGGAAAUCCUCCAGAGAUGGGGGGUCCGUAAGGCCGUGCACAGGUGGUGCAUGGUUGUCCUCAGCUCGUGUCGU
rnacentral:rRNA from 1 species